rnacentral:rRNA from 1 species
ACGUGGUAUCCUGUCUGAAUAUGGGGGGACCAUCCUCCAAGGCUAAAUACUCCUGACUGACCGAUAGUGAACCAGUACCGUGAGGGAAAGGCGAAAAGAACCCCGGCGAGGGGAGUGAAAAAGAACCUGAAACCGUGUACGUACAAGCAGUGGGAGCACCCUUUGGGGUGUGACUGCGUACCUUUUGUAUAAUGGGUCAGCGACUUAUAUUCUGUAGCAAGGUUAACCGAAUAGGGGAGCCGGAGGGAAACCGAGUCUUAAUUGGGCGUUAAGUUGCAGGGUAUAGACCCGAAACCCGGUGAUCUAGCCAUGGGCAGGUUGAAGGUUGGGUAACACUAACUGGAGGACCGAACCGACUAAUGUUGAAAAAUUAGCGGAUGACCUGUGGCUGGGGGUGAAAGGCCAAUCAAACCGGGAGAUAGCUGGUUCUCCCCGAAAGCUAUUUAGGUAGCGCCUCGUGAAUUCAUCUCCGGGGGUAGAGCACUGUUUCGGCUAGGGGGCCAUCCCGGCUUACCAACCCGAUGCAAACUGCGAAUACCGGAGAAUGUUAUCACGGGAGACACACGGCGGGUGCUAACGUCCGUCGUGAAGAGGGAAACAACCCAGACCGCCAGCUAAGGUCCCAAAGUCAUGGUUAAGUGGGAAACGAUGUGGGAAGGCCCAGACAGCCAGGAUGUUGGCUUAGAAGCAGCCAUCAUUUAAAGAAAGCGUAAUAGCUCACUGGUCGAGUCGGCCUGCGCGGAAGAUGUAACGGGGCUAAACCAUGCACCGAAGCUGCGGCAGCGACGCUGAUGCGUUGUUGGGUAGGGGAGCGUUCUGUAAGCCUGCGAAGGUGGCCUGUGAGGGUUGCUGGAGGUAUCAGAAGUGCGAAUGCUGACAUAAGUAACGAUAAAGCGGGUGAAAAGCCCGCUCGCCGGAAGACCAAGGGUUCCUGUCCAACGUUAAUCGGGGCAGGGUGAGUCGACCCCUAAGGCGAGGCCGAAAGGCGUAGUCGAUGGGAAACGGGUUAAUAUUCCCGUACUUGGUGUUACUGCGAAGGGGGGACGGAGAAGGCUAUGUUGGCCGGGCGACGGUU